GAUGAACGCUGGCGGCGUGCCUAACACAUGCAAGUCGAGCGGACAGACGAGGAGAUUGUGCCCUUGACGUUAGCGGCGGGCGGGUGAGUAACAAGUGGAUCACCUACUUAUAAGUCGGGGAUAAUAACGGAAAACAGGAUCCAAUACUAGAUAAUAUGUUGUACCGCAGGGAGCAAUGGAGAAUCACGGCUUGGGUGUCAGUAAUAGCUGGUUCCGUGCCGGAUUAGCUGGUUGGUAAGGUAACGGCUUACCAAGGCAACGAUGCGUAGCCGAGCUGAGAGGCUGAUCGGCCACACUGGAACUGAGACACGGUCCAGACUCCUACGGGAGGCAGCAGUAGGGAAUCUUCGGCAAUGGGCGAAAGCCUGACGCAGCAACGCCGCGUGAGUGAUGAAGGCCUUCGGGUCGUAAAGCCCUUUUAUUGGGGAAGAACAGCUGUGGAAUGAACCAUGGCCGUCUUGACGGUACCUAAUCAAUAAGCACCGGCUAACUACGUG
rnacentral:rRNA from 1 species